GAUCAUGGCUCAGGAUGAACGCUAGCUACAGGCUUAACACAUGCAAGUCGCAGGGUAACGUGAGGGAAGCUUGCUUCCCUUGACGACGACUGGCGCACGGGUGAGUAACGCGUAUCCAACCUUCCCCAUGACCACGGGAUAACCCGUUGAAAGACGGACUAAUACCGUAUGACGUCGUUUGCUGACAUCAAAUAACGAUUAAAGGUUUAGCGGUGAUGGAUGGGGAUGCGUCUGAUUAG
rnacentral:rRNA from 1 species